rnacentral:rRNA from 1 species
AUACGUAGGUGACAAGCGUUAUCCGGAUUUACUGGGCGUAAAGGGCGUGUAGGCGGUCUUGCAAGUCAGAAGUGAAAUUCCUGAGCUCAACUCGGGCGCUGCUUCUGAAACUGCAGGACUUGAGUGCUGGAGGGGAUAGCGGAAUUCCUAGUGGAGCGGUAAAAUGCGCAGAUAUUAGGAAGAACACAGGUGGCGAAGGCGGCAUUCUGGACAUUAACGGGGGCUGAGGGGCGAAGGCGUGGGGAGAAAACAGGAUAAGAGACCCUGGUGGUCCACGCCGUAAACGAUGAAUACUAGGUGUAGGGGGUAUCGACUCCCUCUGUGCCGCAGUUAACACAAUAAGUAUUCCGCCUGGGGAGUACGGCCGCAAGGUUGAAACUCAAAUGAAUUGACGGGG